CAGGGAGACAACAAAAUGUUUAAUAUUAUUAUUUUGUCACCUUAGGUCGAUCGGUAUCUCACAUUCUUAAUUUAUUAAGGAUUUUAUUUCCUAAGUUUUUUCUAGGUCACACCCAUUACUUUUCCUGGGCCAUUAGCUCAGGUGGUUAGAGCGCACCCCUGAUAAGGGUGAGGUCCCUGGUUCAAGUCCAGGAUGGCCCAUAUCUCUAUGUUGGGGGUAUAGCUCAGUUGGUAGAGCGCCUGCUUUGCAAGCAGGAUGUCAGCGGUUCGAGUCCGCUUACCUCCACUGAUUACCACCUCUUCCAUAAUUAUUAAGGAAAUGUUUUGAGUAGUGAUCAAAUUCUGAACGAAUCUAGCUUCCUAAUGAAUUCAUUAAGAUGCUGGACUCAUUGAAUUAUUUUCAUUGUUUUCAGAGAACCUUGACAACUGCAUAGAUUAUUUUUAAAGACAAUAAGCAUCUUUAUGANGCAGAUUUAUUAUUUGUGCGAAUGCAUUAAUAACAAUUCUAUUAAGCUGAUGCUUCAAUUAUGAAGUUAUU
rnacentral:tRNA from 1 species